rnacentral:lncRNA from 1 species
CGGCGCUGCGCGUGCGCACUAGCCCUGGUGUGCCUGGCGCUGCUGUUGCUGCUGCUGGAGCCCCGGGGUGCCCUGGGGGAGGAGCUGCAACCGCAGGAGACCCCCGGGCCCAGGGCGGCCCACUGGAUGUCCAACCUCGGCCACUUCAACAAGUACCUAGAGAAGCUCUUCAACAGCAGACGUGUUCCCCAGCUUGAAGUCUAAGGACACCAAGAAAUCUAAACACCCCAAGAAAUCCGCGAACACCACGAAAACCCCACCAGCAAACACCGUGAACCCCCCCCAACAGACCAUCGGGAAACCCCAACCGCCGCCCUCCUCCCAGGGCCCCAGGUAGGAGAGCCUGGGCAGGCUGGCACCCAUCCGGAGCCACAGAACCGGGGCCGGUUGAGCUGGAAUGAGAGGAAGCCCUGGGGGGUGGGGGGGGAAUACCAGGGCCCCAGGGACUUCCUUCUCCAGGCAAGGCCCUGGCCUCAGAUGCCUGACUCAAGUCUCCUGGCCCAGCGACCCCCUCUGUAUUCUGAGAGGAGCCUUAACUCCUACCUGCCCGCUUCCCUCACCCUCCCGGAGAACAAUAAAGAGAAAUACCUCUACUGCUUGGUGGGGCGUCACGGGUGCGGAGCCCGUGGUUUCUCGUGGCUGCUCCUUCUAGCAUGCUUCAUGGCGAACAGCUGGCUGGCCGGGGCAAGUCCGCCCCUGAGAAGCUCCCGUUUCCUGAGCGUUUACUGGGUCAAGAGGCUACGCUCAGGGUUUCUUUUCUUUUUUCUUUUUAAAAGUAAUUGCAUUUAUUUGGCUAAAAUUCAGAUUCCCAACAAAUCGAUUCUAGAGCGUAUUGGUGCAUGUAGACAUCAUCAUAGUACCGCCACGGGUUUACUUGCUGGAAGAGGCAUUUUCACUCCCUCCGGCUGCAAACACCUGGGUUGUUUUGGGUUUAAAAAGAAAAAGGUUUGGGGCGCCUGGGUGGCACAGCGGUUAAGCAUCUGCCUUCGGCUCAGGGCGUGAUCCCGGCAUUAUGGGAUCGAGCCCCACAUCAGGCUCCUCUAUGAGCCUGCUUCUUCCUCUCCCACUCCCCCUGCUUGUGUCCCCUCUCUCGCUGGCUGUCUCUAUCUCUGUCUAAUUAAA